UCUAACCAAUUAAUAAACUUCCGAAAAUCAAGUUUGUGUGUGCUCGACCUUAAUCCAGAUAAUUCCGUCGGCAGAGGAAAAAUGGCGACUUGCGAGGUGUACAGGAUAUCGACGAUCGGGAUGUGCUUGACGGAAACUCUGGUUAGUAGGGGUGUGCUGACUGCUGAGCCAUUCAAGUUCUUCUUCAGUUCGAAAAGUCAAUGACAGAGACUCUGGAAAAUGAGGUGAAGACCAAGGUCUCCAUUAAGGUAGACAAGACUCCAUCUGAAAGAAAAGUUUCAUUAAUAUCUUACCAAUAUACAUGUCCUUGUUAUUCUGGCAAGAAUAUAUAAUUAAAGUUGGAUUAUGGAUUGAAGGGCUUCAUUUUCUGACUGUAUUUUCAACUAUUGUUAAAGCUAAACUUGUUGGUUUCUUGCGGAGCUUUUUCUUGUGAACUUUAUUGGCCUCAAUGCUUGAAGGGUCUCAUAAGAGUAUCUGAGUAUAUAGCUGUUUAGUAGUAGAUCAUAAACAUUUAGCUUCUGGUUGUUCUAGCUACAAGUACAAUAUGCCAUGUUGAUGAUAAUGUAGUCCUAAAUUAACUAAUUAGGUAUUGUACUGAAGUCUGAAA